rnacentral:rRNA from 1 species
UUCUCCCAGGUUUGGAGGGCUCGGAUCCCCCCGAAAAUUAAAAUUUUUCUCUGGCAAGCUAUUAGGGGUCGUUUGCCUGCGGCUGACCAAAUUCGUAAAAAGAAUGGUCCGGGUUCGCAGUUUUGUGCCCUUUGUGGUGUGGUGGAGGAUAUGAAUCACAUUAUCUUCAACUGUGUUCUUGCUAAACUGAUUUGGAGUUGUGUUAGAGAGUGGCUCCAGGUCUCGUGGGACCCUUCCUCCUUCUCUGAACUCCGGGCCCUUGCUAACUCCCUGUCAGACGCUACCAAACGAGUCUUUUGGGUUGGUUUGGGAGCUGUUUGUUGGUCCCUUUGGACUACUAGGAAUAAGUUUACCAUUGAACAUGUGUUUCCUGCUAAACCUGCUGACUGCUUAUUUAAAUCGUGUGCUCUCUUGCAGCAAUGGAAAUCAUUGACUAAGGCGGAGGACCAGGAUCCUCUGAACCUGCUGAUCUCUAAAGUUCGGGCCUCGGCGUCUUCUCUCUGCAGACAGGAGCAGGAUGCUUACCUGGUUCCACGUGUUCUUUGCCUAGUUUGUCUUGGGGUUUGA